CCUUGUACACACCGUCCCGUCACACCAUGGGACGUCGUUUGCUCCAGAAGUGGCUAUGCCAACCCGCAAGGGAGGUAGGUCCCCAAGGAGUGAACGGUAACUGGGGUG
rnacentral:rRNA from 1 species